UGGGGCUUUAGGGGAGGAUGUCUCUCCUGAAGCUGUGAAGGUCAGCAUCUCAGCUGAGGGAGGAAGUCAUGUCUUGGCUCCAAUUGUGUCACACAGUACAGUUGAGGGAGGCAUCCACAUCCAACACCAUUAUCAUGGUGCUGGGGAUUCAGCUGCAGCCAAACCAACACAGGAAGCAGCCAAACCCCACACUUCUGCAGCUCUGGCCAGGCAAGAAGAGCACAUUUCCCACACAGGGAGAGCAAAUGCCC